rnacentral:rRNA from 1 species
UGNAGUAAAAGGCUAUGGCUCAACCAUAGUGUGCUNUGGAAACUGUCUGACUUGAGUGCAGAAGGGGAGAGUGGAAUNCCAUGUGUAGCGGUGAAAUGCGUAGAUAUAUGGAGGAACACCAGUGGCGAAAGCGGCUCUCUGNUCUGUCACUGACGCUGGGGCUCGAAAGCGUGGGUAGCGAACAGGAUUAGAUACCCUGGUAGUNCACGCCGUAAACGAUGAGUGCUAGGUGUUAGGCCCUUUCCGGGGCUUAGUGCCGGAGCUAACGCAAUAAGCACUCCGCCUGGGGAGUACGACCGCAAGGUUGAAACUCAAAGGAAUUGACGGGGGCCCGCACAAGCGGUGGAGCAUGUGGUUUAAUUCGAAGCAACGCGAAGAACCUUACCAGGUCUUGACAUCCCGAUGCUAUUCUUAGAGAUAGGAAGUUACUUCGGUACAUCGGAGACAGGUGGUGCAUGGUUGUCGUCAGCUCGUGUCGUGAGAUGUUGGGUUAAGUCCCGCAACGAGCGCAACCCUUAUUGUUAGUUGCCAUCAUUAAGUUGGGCACUCUAGCGAGACUGCCGGUAAUAAACCGGAGGAAGGUGGGGAUGACGUCAAAUCAUCAUGCCCCUUAUGACCUGGGCUACACACGUGCUACAAUGGUCGGUACAACGAGUUGCGAGCCGGUGACGGCAAGCUAAUCUCUGAAAGCCGAUCUCAGUUCGGAUUGGAGGCUGCAACUCGCCUCCAUGAAGUCGGAAUCGCUAGUAAUCGCGGAUCAGCACGCCGCGGUGAAUACGUUCCCGGGCCUUGUACACACCGCCCGUCACACCACGAGAGUUUGUAACACCCGAAGUCGGUGAGGUANCCUUUUAGGG